CACGUUUCAGUAGGUUAUACGCCAGUAUAAUAACACAGUGUUAUAACACAGUGCCUAAUUUUACUGCGUUUUGGCCACUUUUUGAAUAUUCAUCGUACGAAUUAUAACUACCUAUUAUAAUUCCAUUAGUUCGACAUCAAUUCAUUGUCGUCAAUUCAUUGCCACUCGACAAGCAGAACCUAUCCAAUAACGUUACAGAGAGCUCUCUAUCACGCACCAACAAGAACAUGUCUUCAAAACCCCAUUUAUCGUUUAAGGAUAAACGAGAUCGAAAAAAAGUAAAAAAAAAAAACUGCUGCAAAACAAACGAAGAUACAAGCAAAGAUAAUUGUGUACUAGGCCGUCAGAAUUGGCCAGAUCUUUCAGCUUCAAAAAAUGAUAGAGGAAGAUCAAAUAAUGCGAGAAAUGACGACCACGAUAAAACAACAACUAAUAACAAUAACAACAAUCAACAACCCAAAUCCCAAGAACCUUUGCCGUCAAAGCAUACUUUGUGGAAUGCAUCGAAACCAAAAUCGAAACGUAUCCAUACUUUGAUCUAGAGACAAUGGACCAUUGCUACAGAUAAUUGAAAUGUCUAGAAACUCCAAUUUCACAAACAAGAGGCACACGCACAACUUUAGUGGUGAAUUGGGCCAAACAAUCGUAAUAUAUAAUUGUAUUGUAUUUAACAUAUUAUAUAUAUUUUUUUUUUAUUGGC